UACGGAGGUGGCAAGCGUUGCUCGGAAUCACUGGGCGUAAAGGGCGCGUAGGCGGGGAGGUAAGUCGGGUGUGAAAUCCCUCGGCCCAACUGAGGAACUGCGCCCGAGACUGCUUCUCUUGAGUCCCGGAGAGGAAGAUGGAAUUCCCGGUGUAGCGGUGAAAUGUGUAGAGAUCGGGAGGAACACCGGUGGCGAAGGCAGCUCGCUGGGACGGUACUGACGCUGAGACGCGAAAGCGUGGGGAGCAAACAGG
rnacentral:rRNA from 1 species